AUGAAGAGAGCUUGCUCUCUGAUUCAGCGGCGGACGGGUGAGUAAUGCCUAGGAAUCUGCCUGGUAGUGGGGGACAACGUCUCGAAAGGGACGCUAAUACCGCAUACGUCCUACGGGAGAAAGCAGGGGACCUUCGGGCCCUUGCGCUAUCAGAUGAGCCUAGGUCGGAUUAGCUAGUUGGUGAGGUAAUGGCUCACCAAGGCGACGAUCCGUAACUGGUCUGAGAGGAUGAUCAGUCACACUGGAACUGAGACACGGUCCAGACUCCUACGGGAGGCAGCAGUGGGGAAUAUUGGACAAUGGGCGAAAGCCUGAUCCAGCCAUGCCGCGUGUGUGAAGAAGGUCUUCGGAUUGUAAAGCACUUUAAGUUGGGAGGAAGGGUUGUAGAUUAAUACUCUGCAAUUUUGACGUUACCGACAGAAUAAGCACCGGCUAACUCUGUGCCAGCAGCCGCGGUAAUACAGAGGGUGCAAGCGUUAAUCGGAAUUACUGGGCGUAAAGCGCGCGUAGGUGGUUUGUUAAGUUGGAUGUGAAAGCCCCGGGCUCAACCUGGGAACUGCAUUCAAAACUGACAAGCUAGAGUAUGGUAGAGGGUGGUGGAAUUUCCUGUGUAGCGGUGAAAUGCGUAGAUAUAGGAAGGAACACCAGUGGCGAAGGCGACCACCUGGACUGAUACUGACACUGAGGUGCGAAAGCGUGGGGAGCAAACAGGAUUAGAUACCCUGGUAGUCCACGCCGUAAACGAUGUCAACUAGCCGUUGGGAGCCUUGAGCUCUUAGUGGCGCAGCUAACGCAUUAAGUGACCGCCUGGAGGCGCGCGGUAAAU
rnacentral:rRNA from 1 species